GAUGAACGCUGGCGGCGUGCCUAAUACAUGCAAGUCGAGCGAACGGACGAUAAGCUUGCUUCUCUGAUGUUAGCGGCUGACGGGUGAGUAACACGUCGAUAACCUACCUAUAAUACUGGGAUGACUACGUGAAACCGGAUCUGAUACCGGAGAAUAUUCUGAACCGCAUGGUUCAACAGUAGAAUACGGCCUUGCUGACACUUAUAGAUGGAUCCGCGCUUCAUUAGCUAGUUGGUAAGGUAACGGCUUACCAAGGCAACGAUCCAUAGCCGACCUGAGAGGACGAUCAGCCACACUGGGACUGAGACACGGCCCAGACUCCUACGGGAGGCAGCAGUAGGGAAUUUUCGACAAUGGGCGCAAGCCUGACGGAGCCACGCCGCGUGAGUGAUGAAGGUCUUCGGAUCGUAAAACUCUGUUAUUAGGGAAGAAAAUAUGUGGAAGAAACUGUGCACAUCUUGACGGUACCUAAUGAGAAAGCAACGGCUAACUACGUG
rnacentral:rRNA from 1 species